AUCAUAUUUGUUUUUUUUUCUUCUUUUUUACAAAGUUACUUAAUGUAUUAAGGUGCUUGUUUCAUACUAUAUCAAUUACUCCUUUAUAGGGUUUUUGCCUUGAAGACAGGAAGAGCAAUGGAGAAUUAUCAUAAGAAAUACAAUUUUCUGGCUUUAAAUCUCCUCACAACAUUUGUUUGCAUUUACAUAGCUUUAAGGAUACAGACCUGUCAGUAACAUUUUGUGCAUACAUGUAGACCAAAUGGCCCUGUAAAACAAAAUCAAGUUUUUCGUCAAUGAAAUAUAUCAUAAAACUCCUGGACUCGUAGAUUGGACACAGACAGUGGGCCAUAUAAAUCAAUAUAGACCUCUCAAAGUGUUUUUUACAUCCCUAUACCUGUUUAUUGGAUCAAGGGGGUGGAAGCAAUCAUCCGUGGUGCUAAGUUCAUUUUUGGUGGUGCUUAUUAUAUUUCUUUAAUGAAAUAUACAACAACAGACCCCUGGACUAGAAAAUUGCCCCACAUGUGCUUUUCAAAUCAUCUGAGACCCAAAAGAGUGGGUUAGACCCCUUAACCUAUCUUGAUGGACCACUGAGAGGAAAGUUACCUCCCAUGGUGCUUAGUUCGUGCCUGAUGGUGCUUAUAUUUCUUAUAUGAAAUAUUGAAAUAUACUACAACAGACCUCUGGACUAGAAGAUUGAACCACAUGAGCUUUUCAAAGCAUCUUAGACCCAAAGAAUGUAAGACCCCUAAAUCUGUUUGUUGGGCCAACGAGAGGAAAGCUACCUCCCAUGGUUCUUACGGUAGUUUGUUUUUCUUGGUGCUUAUAUUUUUUUUAAUGAAAUAUACCCUAUGAGAACCCUUAACUUAACGAUUAGACCACAGUUGCCUGUUGACCAAUGAGCCUUACAAACCAACUAAGUACCCCUAAGAGUAUUUAGACCCCUACACCAUCUGUUGGACCAAAUUGAGGGAAGCUACCUUCUGUGGUGCUAAGUUUCUUUUUGGUGGUGCUUAUAUUUUUCUUUAGUGAAAAAUAUCCUGAAACCCGGGACUAGUGUAGAUUGGACCAUAGUUGCUUUUUGACCAAUGAGCCUUACAAACCAACUUAGAACACCAAAGAGCAUUAUAGAUCCUUUUACCUGUUUGUUGGACCAAUGGGUGGGAAACCACCUCCCGUGGUGCUCAGUCAAUUUUUCAGUGGUACUUAUAUUUCUUAAAAAUAAUAUAUACACGACUUGUGUAGAUUGGACCAUGUGUGCCUGUGGACUAAUGAGCUUAACAAACCAUCUUAGACCCCAAUAGAGUGCUUUAGACCCCUAUACACAUAAGAUGGACCAAUUGGAGGGAAGCUACCUCCCGUGGUGCUAAGUUUUUUUUCUGUGGUGCUUUAUUUUUU
rnacentral:lncRNA from 1 species